CUUUAUCUUUCUUUUCUACAGGUUUUGUAGUUUGAAAAAACAUGACUGACCUUAAGUAUGCUUAUCCCUACCCUGCUCAAGGUUAUUAUCAAGGGCCCCCAGUGAUGGCGCCACCACCAUAUGCAUAUGCUACUCCACCACCUAGGAGAGAGCCUGGUUUCCUUGAGGGCUGUCUUGCAGCUUUGUGUUGCUUCUUUCUCAUUGAUGAGUGUUGCUGUGAUCCUUCCAUCAUCUUUAUUAGCUGAUAAUACAUCUCUGUAAUUUCACUGCACUUUAGGUUUGAUUCUGGAGGAAUCUUUUUAAUACUCGUAAACGGUAAUUUAGAACUAGUGAUUGAUUGUGUGGUUUGAA